rnacentral:lncRNA from 1 species
CAGAGAACACCCAAUUUCCCAUUAAGCCUCCCCCGCCCUACCCGAACGCCAGGCAGAGUCUUCCCCUGCUUGUCACCUGGUUGGGAACCUUUAGAGGCAGCUCAUCUUUGCAUCUCCCCAUCACAGGGAGCAGUGGUUUUGGUACCCACAGGACUUAGCCUUUGGUUUGCAUCUGUCCUUCAGAGGAGGAGGAUACAGAGGCUGGUUUUGAGAUUAUUUGGAGCUGGUGAUCAGUGAGGUCUCUUUAAGCUGAUUGAGCCAACUGUGCUGACUUAGUCAGUUAACCUAGAUAAAUACCACUCUGAGUUUUCUUUUUUCAUUUAAGAAAAAUAGUGUCAGAGUACAGGAUGGACUCCCCCAGUGGGAGAGCUGACACCAUGUAAAUGAUUCAUUAGCAGAUGCUUUAGCUGAACCUCAGCUGUUUUCACCAGUGACGUCGAUGUGACGGAGAUAUUUGUUCAGGUGAUGGGACUUGAGUGGGCCUUGGGCCAGACCUCCACCCCCAGGGACCACCCUUCUAGCACUGAAAGGCAAUAGUCUUCACACUGGCUGAAUCCUGUAUUUUCUCAAUCCUCCAAAUCCGACCAACUUCUCUAAAUUGUACUGCAAGGUUUUGGCAGCCAGAGCUCCCACUCCUUGCCACCAUCCCACCGCCACCACUGGAGGUGCUGAAGGCCAAGUACAAGCCAUCCGGGUGGAAACCUGUAUUUGAAGGUCUGCACCGCGGGGCAAAGGGCCAGCUUGUUCCCUCUGCAACUGGAUGAGCUGAAUUGGCAGCAGACAACCAGCGUUUCUCAGGAAGCUGUACCAACAAGAUGCAAAAGGGAGAGGUGGAGCAGAGGAGGGCAGUUCAUGAGCUGAUUGUGCUAAGCCCUGUCAAAUAAUCCUUUAGAAACCCGAUGCUGACCCUUUGAUGGAGCUACUACUGAGCAGUCACAUGCCCUGAAGUUGGUCACUUUCUACCCAGAGCAUCGUGUUAAUGCACAUAGAUUCUGCAACACAGGCUACAAAGAUUCAAAGACAGCUUUGCUGUUUGCUAGCUUUGUGACCUCAAGCAAGUUACUGAAAUUCCUGUCCCUCCGUUACUGCAUCCAUAAAAGGGCAGUUGCAAAACUAGUACCUGCCUCAUCAGGGUGUUGUGGGGUUGAAAGUGAAUUAAUAUGUGUUCGGUCUCGAGGUCAGUGCCUGUUGCAUAAGCACUUUGUAUCUGUUAUUAUUGCCUUCAAAACUCUCUUCACUGUCUGUGUACGACUUUCCAGCGUCUUGCAUAGAUUAAGUGUUUAAUAAAUAUCUCUUCAUGACAUUUUA